CAGGACUUUAUGCAGAUUCUCAGAGGAGAUGUCACAUAAACCCAACUUGCUUUCAACCUAGCCAGGACUUUGCCCUGAACUCUUUGGCAGUGUCUCUCACCUAAGCGUAACCACCUGUGUGCAGCCCUUCUCCAGCACUGACUUUCCAUGCCCAAGGGCUCUGCUCUCUCGGAGAAUGUAUCUAUGGACAUAAGGGGAAAGGCCAAGGACAAACAGUUUUUAAUUUCCCAGAAACAAGGCCAUUUAUUAACACAACUGUAUCUCUCUAAUUGCACCGUACAUUCACAGCUACCUGGGACAUUAUGGCUACAUCGAGGCAACAGACUGGCCACUGAAUACACUCAAGGUCCUCCAGGAGAGCCCGGCCCUCGGGGGCCCCCGGGUCCGCCAGGAGUGCCAGGAUCCGACGGCGCUGAUGGUGACAAAGGCCCGCCAGGCGCUGCUGGGACCCCGGGCUCCAAGGGGGAACCAGGUAUUCCAGGUCCGGACGGGCCCCCGGGGAAGCCAGGCAUUGAGGGCCUAACUGGCACGAAGGGGGAACCAGGGCCACGCGGGAGGCCAGGGACUAAAGUAAGUGACUGGUGUUCGUCUCUCCAGCUCCAGUGCUGCCUU
rnacentral:lncRNA from 1 species